CCCCCAGGAACGUAAUUUUGCCUUUUGUUGUUAGAGAACCCCCAGCCCUCCCUUCUCCGCGCCGCGCUUGUUUGAGGCGCGGCGUCCGAGGGGGCGGCCCGCCCUCGCGGUGGGACUGGGGCGCCAAUGGCAGUCGGCGGUCUCACGUCUGUAAUCAACGUGCUGAGCCUGCCAUUCCCUAGAGAGGAUCCUGGCGGGCCUAGCAAUGGUCAGGAGACCUGUCAGAUUCCGCCUGCCACUCCUGAGACCAGUCUCUCAGCGACUCUCUGGGCCCAGGUUUCCUCAUCUGCAAAUAAAGCGAUUCAAGAGAGCACCUUUAGAGCUGCCCACCUGAUUUGAAAUUCUGUGCGCAAGCUGUUCCCCCAAGGGAGGGCGGCUGAAAGAAAAGGGAGGUCUUCUGGAGCCUCCUUUGAAGCCCAGGACAGAUGACAUUCUGCACUGGGUAAGGUGUCUUGCAAAUGUGACGGAUUCCAUCUUAAGUUUCAGUGCGUGUUGAAGCAUUAGGUAUGGUGGUUCAAGGCUGGGCUUCAGGUCAUACAAACAGGUUCAAAUCUGGGCUUUACUUCUUACCCACUUUGUGUUAGCUUUCUUAGCCACAUGAAAUCACAGUUUUCUUGCCUACAAAAUAGGGAGAUCAGCCACCUUGUAAGGAUUAAUUCUGAUAGCAUAUAUACUAUAUGCAUAGAGUAAACUUAAAAAACAGUAAUUGUAAUUAUUAUAGAUCAAGGUAAUUCAAAGAGAUUGGAUUAUUUUUUUUCCCCAUUAAGUACAACUUUCUAACUCAGUCUCAAGGUUAAAUGGUUGAGGAGGGAGAGAGGAAAGGUGAUGUUUUUAUUUUAAAAGAUGUUAAUUUUCAGAUGCCAAACUGCCUAAGCAUAAACCAGAGCCUCUAGGCUCAUCACCACCAGCAUCUGAGAUGCAUAUAGUAGGAAGAGAAUGCAGUUUUUAAAACUUAUGGUAUUAUGUUUUGCUAUGUGAGUACCUGCUUCAUUUGCUAGGUAUCUUCACCUCCUUGAGCAAUGCAUUCAUCUUUCUAUCCCCCAAUGGUGUCCCGAGUGAGUGUUCAAUAAAUGAUGUUUGUUGAUCACACAGAAAUGACGCGGCACCAUCAAGGGAACAUGUGCUUUGAGCUGCUUUUCCAAGAAUGGAAAUGGAUUUGCUUUGAUCCAUUCAUGUGACCAGAGGCAUACUUUGUGAAGUGUCCUCAGGUCUCGGCUGGUGCAUUCUGGGGCCGCCACCAUCAUCACAAUGCUGCCAUCCCUCUUGUCCCCAUUAAGGAAAGGACUCAGUGAGGGGACCGACCAGUUUACCUCUGAAUCCUACAUUGUGGUUCACCCAGUGCCUUCCGUGUAUAUGGUGGACAUUCAAUAUAUUCUUCGUGAGUAACUAGAUGACCAGGAAAAAAAAAUGCUUUAUGUCAUGUUCUCUUUAAAGGAAUCUUUGGAGAUCAUUUUUCAUAUUUAGUAAUCUGUCGCAGUUGCAUUAUUUUGUGAAUCUGAAAUUUUCAUAGAUAAAUCUUGUUCCUUAUUCCCAGUAUAUGUAUGGAUCUCUCUCUGUUCUCUGGAUUGAUUUAAACAGUUGUGAAGCUUAAUUUUAAAAGCCUAGGAAAUUUAGCAUUGUGGUAAAAAAAAAAAAUUUUUUUGCUUGGACCAGAGUGUGUCCUUUAGUUGGUACCCUUCCCAGAGAUAUCCUCAACUGGAUCCACAGUCCUGUCUCCCUCACCUCUAACCCAUUAGUUGAUUGGAAUCCCUGUUUACUUCACGUUCAUAUGCCAAAUUUUAAUGGGAAACAAACAACCCUGAGAUAUGUUCUCUGGAUGCUUGGGCAAUACUUAGACUUAGUUCUGUUUUUCCUGACCUCCUCCCCCCCACCCCCCCUUCUUUUAAAUCAGUUCUGAGAAGACUUGUUUACCAGGUUGGAGAGCCAGAGGCUUGGCUGGGGCGGUGUGAUCGUAGCGCCCUCUGGUGUAAUUUUUGAGAAUUACAAAUAUCUUCCCCAAGCUUAAGAGUGGGUGGGAAUUUUUUUCCUGACUGGCCUUCAAGGGGAGAGCCUCUGUGUUAUAUCUCAAAUACAGUAAAUUAAUAACAUGCACGUUUAUUACCUACAGUGGAUAUUUAAGAGAUACUAUGUUGGCAGUAUCAACUGAUUACCAGACAUUUGUUUAUUAUAAAAUUAGGCUUCAAAUGACUAGAAAAGAGCAGCUUAACAGUGUUUUGUGCUUUUUCAUCAUCUCCCACCAGUGUGUGGAAGAGGUAAAGACAAAGUCCCCCAAGAAGGGUAAUGGAAAAGGGUGUAGCGCCCAAGAGUUAAGGGGAAAAUGGCGAGGAUCAGAAAACGUGGUUACAAACAAAUCUUAUCCUCAGCCCUCACUCAGAUCUGAGCCCAGAAAUUUAAGACCCAGCCAGAAGUUGAGAGUUGGCCAGACUCUCACUCAAAGGGGAGGCUGGGGUGGGGGUAUUGGGUGGUGGACAGAAAGUCUGACAGAGACACGCACUGUAGGAGGCGUCUAGGGUAUGUACAUGCACCACUUUGUUCUAGCUGGGCCUUCUGGGUGGCCAUUUUUCCUUCCUCCCUCCCUCCCUUCCUCCCUUUUUUUCUUUCUUAUUUUUUAAAACAAUGUCAAUUUGGGGCGCCUGGAUGGCUCAGUUGAUUAAAUGCCCGGCUUCAGCUUGGGUCAUGAUCUCACUGCUCAUGAGUUCGAGCCCCACGUCGGGCUCUGUGCUGACAGCUCAGAGCCUGGAGCCUGCUUCAGAUUCUGUGUCUCCCUCUCUCCCUGCCCCUCCCCUGCUCACACUCUGUCUCUCUCUCUUUCAAAAAUAAAUAAACAUUAAAAAAAAAACUAAAAAAUAAAACAAUUUCAAUUUGAGGAUCAUUUCCUUCACCAUUGCCAUUAGCAGAGUCACUGUGGCCCAGAGGACACAGUCACUGGCUAGAGUCAAACAUACCUGCACUCAAAUUCCUGUCUUGCCUUGUACCAGCUAUAAGAUGGGUAAAUCAACCUGCUGAGUCUCAGUUUUCUGGAAGUUCCUUACGGAUUAAAAAGCACUAACAGAGUAAACAAUUCAGAAAUAGGUUAGUGAUUUUAUUUCUCCAAGAAUGAGGAAGAGAGUGGGGUCAUGACUAAGGAGAUGAUUCAGGUUUUAGUACUGUUGGUGUUUCCCCAAGGUUCACAGAACCUUGAGCCUGACCUGAAACACAUUUAGAAGCAACAGGGGUAGGCAGAGAUUCUGGAAGCAAACAAACCUUUAUUAAGCAUUACCUACACUACAUUUUUGCCACAUACAUUGGAAAUUAUGUAACUUGGAUACAGCAAAGUCCUUACCCUUUGGGAGUCUAUGCUUUAGGUGUUGAGGAAAAACCUCCCCAAAAACCCAAGUAUAUGACCCAAGGACACGAUCUAGGAAACUAUAUGCGUGAAGGUGGUGAUAGUGAAAUAGGUAAGCUUUGGUUGGAAUAGGAGUAGUAAAAUAUGAAGUUGGAAAAGCACUGAGCAUUUGAAUUCUAUGUUUGAAGUCUGCACAUUUGAAAUAUUGCUAUGUUAAAGCAUUAAUAAAGUCUCGCUUUAUGAAUUUGGAUUUGAAAUGAAAGCAAUCCUUAAAAAUGGGAGGGGGGUAUAAAAAUAAUAAUUUCAACAUGUAUAAAUUAAUUAUAAAUUGUUUAUAUUACUUCC